rnacentral:lncRNA from 1 species
UGAAAUGCGGCUGCGAGUGCGCAUGCCCGGAAGUGCGUUUAGCUUCACUAGAAACUGUUCCUGCUGCAUUUCACCGAUAAAUGUGUUUAUUUAAUUAGUCGAUCACAUCAACAGGCUCCUUCACGGAUUCCAGGUGUCAGGAUGGUGUGUGAGCUGCUGCUCUCCUCGGUCUGGUUCCUGUUCCUCAUCUUCUGGCUGGAGACCAUCAGUGUUUGGCUCUUCCUGUGUCUGUACUAUCAGGAUCGGGUUUUCUAUCACUGGGGUUCAGGUGAGUCUGCAGAUGAUCCAGAUCAGUUCCUCUACGUGUUGAGCAGAAUUGACCUUUCUGCGCACAUGCAGACGUGAGGAAGUGAUGUCAUCGCUCGAGUGUGAGGUCACAUGAAGGGACGCGAGGAGGGUCAGAGGUCAGCGGAUGCUCGUGACGUCAGAGAGCCUGUGAUGGGCGGUUUCUACAGACGGACAGAGUCGAGAGGUUCACAUUAAACAUGAGCAGUGUUUGCAGGAGCAUGAAAUGUUGUAGUCUUGAGGUUUUAGGUUCCUUCACAUGAUCAGUGACGAAGCGUAAUGUCUUUAAAACGGUUACCUGUGUGAACAUGACUGACUGAGUUUAACCGGUUCAUCUCUUUAACUAGCUGGCAUUUCAUUUUAUAAAACUUCAGCAUCUCCGGAUGAACUUUGAUCUAAUUAUUGUUCUUUCUAUUUUGGUACCAGUGUGUCUUUUUUACCCAAUAAUACAAAUAAAGCCGUUUUAACAGAGUUUUCAGAGGUUUCUUUUCUACACUGAACAAAACCGAGCGCAGAUCUCUCCAGCCA